CAGAGUGUUGGGUAAUUGCGUAACCCCCCUGCCUUGGAAGCAGGUAUAUGCGAGUUCAAGUCUCGCCACUCUGACCA
rnacentral:tRNA from 1 species